GCAAGUCGAGCGGACCGACGGGAGCUUGCUUCCUUAGGUCAGCGGCGGACGGGUGAAGUAACACGUGGGUAACCUGCCUGUAAGAACUGGGAUAAACUUCCGGGAAAACCGGGGCUAAUACCGGAUGCUUGAUUGAACCGCAUGGUUCAAUCAUAAAAGGCGGCUUUCGGCUGCCGUUUACAGAUGGACCCGCGGCGCAUUAGCUAGUUGGUGAGGUAACGGCUCACCAAGGCGACGAAUGCGUAGCCGACCUGAGAGGGUGAUCGGCCACACUGGGACUGAGACACGGCCCAGACUCCUA
rnacentral:rRNA from 1 species